ensembl:lncRNA
GUUCUUUUAAACGUCUGGGGUUAUAAUCCAUUUUGCGUAUUAAACACCCACCCGAAUAACCAAAGGGGGUGAUUAUUUGCAUUAUAUUGAGGCAGAGUCUGUGUAUGUGGACACUCACUAUUUGCCCUCUCUUCAGUUCCUCUUGUCUGUCCUCCACAAGCAGAGACUCACUGAUAGACCACUGUUACCAGUUUUAGUGUUGACACAUCCACCCACGUCCCCACCACAAGUGUAUCCUGUACAGACACAGAACAUUGAGAAAAAAAGAGAUGCUGUUGUCUGCUGCCUCAUUAACUACCUCGGUGAAAGACAAGAAGAUCUUUUCCAUGACUGCCAGGAAUGUGAGGACUACACAGACAAAACGAUGAAGGUGAUUGUGAAGCACAAUGUCAUGGCUGAGGAGGAUCCAUCAGAUUUGUCUAUUGUGAUCGAGGGAAACCAAGUGAUGGAAGGAUGUGGAAGCCAAACAAAGGCAUGCAUAAUGCUGAUGGGACUCAUUUAUGCAAUCAACAUCAAAUAUCCAAAGGAGCUGAAGAACAUGUUUGAAGCUUUUCAAAAACUUUUUUUGGAAAUUGAUGGGGCAAAACUACUGAAAAAGACACAGAUCCAUCCACUCUCUCUCAGCCCACUCCAUUGCUCUGUGAUUUCCCCUAGAUUGACAGAAAAGGAAUACCAAUAGAAAGUUGCCGGAAGAAUUUUGAUCUCUCCUUCUACCCUCCCCCCAUUUGAGAGUGAGAGCAAGCUCAAAAACUAAAGAAUGUUGGUGUUCUGUUUUA